rnacentral:misc_RNA from 1 species
UUGAGUUGCCUGGGUUUGAUGAUCAAGUGCAGGUAUUGGAAAGUGAAUUUAUCAAAUAAAAAUUAUUUUGUGCCUGAGAAAUGUAUGUUCUGAUAAUUAGGGAGGACGGAUUCAACCUUGUGAGUUGUGACUUUCCUCUUUACAGGAGAGCUUGCUACUGGGCUGUUUUAUGCUCUGAGCCACAAGAAAUUGUAGUUCUGUAUGUGAAUGGCAACGUUCUUAAGAUGCUUAGAUGCAAAUUGAUGACUGUGAAAUUCCAGAGCACUUUCCUUCCUCUUGCGGGUUUAAAUACACAUUGAAAUUGUUGGGUCAAAUUCAGAUAUCGUUGCUUCAGCUAUUGCCAUUUGGGAAAAUACUGCUGUUUGUUAUGAUACAUGGAAUGAAAACUGACCAUGAAAUGGAAAUGGUUCUUUUCAUUGUUUUAUUCGUUGUUGUUUAGUAAAUGGGCUAAAGAGAUCAAAAUAAAAUAAAAUCCUGCACAUUUUACUCUUCCAUACGAGGGAUGAGGGAGUUGGUUGUCAUCAAAAGAAAAAGGUUUCUUUAUUAACGCUUUGAUUCCCAGCUUUCAAAAAAUAUUUUCUCUUUUAUUUUGAUUAGAUUUAGAAGGCUACUUUAUUGAUUGGUGAAAUUCUGCGAUAAAACAUAAUUUUUUGAAUAUCAUGUGAAAAGAUAUGGAGCCAUUGAGGGAUCCUUGAUUUUCUGGUGUUUAAUCAAUUGAUAGCCUACUUUUGCUAGUUGGUGUGAUGUGGAAUUUGCUGACUCUGUUACCGGUGAAUCUUCUGACAGUUCAAAAUUGGAAAAUUAGGCUGGCGUCCUCAUGCCUAAUGGCAUCUUCUAUUCUGUUAAGAUUGGGGUGGAGAGUAAUGCUGUAGGUUGAACACAAUUAGAUUCUUCUUCAUGUUAAAGGCUAAUUCAUGAUUGGUUUCUCUUGCUUCCUACAGGACUGCGUUGCUUCGCUGGCACAUGAACAACCACGAGUCCCCAGUUGGCCAUCUUCCAUGUGAUUGUGGCUGACACUUAAAAUGCUAUGA